GAUGAACGCUAGCGGCAGGCUUAACACAUGCAAGUCGAGGGGUAGAAGUUGCUUGCAACUUUGAGACCGGCGCACGGGUGCGUAACGCGUAUGCAAUCUACCUUAUACAGAGGGAUAGCCCAGAGAAAUUUGGAUUAAUACCUCAUAGUAUAAUUGAAUGGCAUCAUUUAAUUAUUAAAGUUCCAACGGUAUAAGAUGAGCAUGCGUCCUAUUAGCUAGAUGGUAAGGUAACGGCUUACCAUGGCAACGAUAAGUAGGGGUCCUGAGAGGGAGAGCGCCCACGCCGGUACGGAGACACGGACCAGACUCCUACGGGAGGCAGCAGUGAGGAAUCUUCGACAAUGGGCGCAAGCCUGUGCCAGCUAUGCCGCGUGCAGGAAGAAGCAUCUAUGGUGUUUAAACUGCUUUUGUACGGGAAGAAACACCCCUUCGUGAAGGGACUUGACGGUACCGUAAGAAUAAGUAUCGGCUAACUCCGUGCCAGCCGCCGCCGUAAUAC
rnacentral:rRNA from 1 species